AUUGAACGCUGGCGGCAUGCUUUACACAUGCAAGUCGAACGGCAGCGCGGGCUUCGGCCUGGCGGCGAGUGGCGAACGGGUGAGUUAUGCAUCGGAACGUGCCCAGUAGUGGGGGAUAGCCCGGCGAAAGCCGGAUUAAUACCGCAUACGACCUGAGGGUGAAAGCGGGGGACCGAAAGGCCUCGCGCUAUUGGAGCGGCCGAUGUCGGAUUAGCUAGUUGGUGGGGUAAAGGCUUACCAAGGCGACGAUCCGUAGCUGGUCUGAGAGGACGACCAGCCACACUGGGACUGAGACACGGCCCAGACUCCUACGGGAGGCAGCAGUGGGGAAUUUUGGACAAAGGGGGCAACCCUGAUCCAGCCAUGCCGCGUGCGGGAAGAAGGCCUUCGGGUUGUAAACCGCUUUUGUUCGGGAAGAAAUCCUCUGGGCUAAUACCCCGGGGGGAUGACGGUACCGGAAGAAUAAGCACCGGCUAACUACGUG
rnacentral:rRNA from 1 species